GAAACUUUAUCAAGUUCAACUGAACACUCAGCUAAACACAAAGAAAAGUAAACAUAAUAAAUAUCAUGGCAUAAUGUCCCAUAAAAGCUGGAGAAAAUGUGGCAUUGGCAUCACCACAAGUUUAGAGAUGUUACAGAAAUUCGAGACCAGCACUCAUCAGGAAAUCACUGAUGCUGAUGAACACAGAGCAGUGGCACGAUCAUGUGUGGUGACUUCCUCCAAUAGUAGCUUGUUGAUGCUGAAAAGAAAAACAGCAGCGCUCUCUGGUGGAAAAUAAUAUUACAGUUUUAUUCAACACAAAAAAAGGCGGAUACCUUGAAUUUAUGCAGCAACAUCCUCUGCCAGAUAUUUCCUGUUGCUAAUUAUGAGAGAUGCACAAUGAAAAUACAUGUUGGACCAUUGUUUUAUAAAAAAAAAAGAUGGUUCACCUCAUCAAUAUUUUUAUUCUGUCUUGAUUGAAGAUCUGGCUUCAGGUUAUGCUACAGAAUCUCAGCUGGGUUAUGGUCACCUAAUUACAUCCCCGCAGGCCAUGUCAGGGACACAGCAAUGACAGUGUUUACUUUCUACCUUGUUUCUUCUCUGCUGGAGAGCUUUGAUUUCCAAAAAUUAAGAGCUUACGGUAACACCCGUCACCAGAUCUGAAUCAGACGCUCAGUCUGUUCUAUGCAUGUGUAAAAGACUUUCUCUUGUUCUUUCAUUUCACACUGAUAUGAAGGACAGCGUGACCUGCACUCUGGCAGGAGUGGAGUGAACUCUGCUCAGUCGCUGAUCAGAGCCUAAAUAAAAUAUCUCUGAGAAAUUUAAAGCAGAUUUGAAGAUUUAGAUAGAGUUUUUUCUUUGGUUUUAUUAGCUAUGAAAAAUGUAACUGUUUCUGUUUCCUAGACGAUGUUUAUAAGUUUUUGUUAUUUUUGUGAACAUCUAUAAUAAAAUAGAAGACUACAUUAGUUUCCCUUUCUUAUAUGAAGGUAACUUUGCAUCCAUGAAAAAAUUACAAUUAAAAUGAUCCAAAAAAACCCCAAAAAACAAGUAAAAUUAUGAAUCUAAUUUAUGUAAUGGAUAUAUGUUGUACAUUUGAUUGAAAAACUCACACUGAACACUUUAGUAAUAUUUAUGUUUAAUUAUAGAUUCCAAUUAUCAAAAUGAUUUGCAACUUUAAUUCAAGCUUUUCCUUUUCCUCAUCUUGUUCCUUUCUUUCACUCAAACACUAAAUUAAAAGUAAAAUAUGUCAUUUACGUCUCCUUUUACUGAGUGAAGAGCUGCUUAAACAGGGUCAUUAGGAGGUACUUACAGAGGCAGAGUACGAUGCUGAACCCCCCAAAAUUCCCUACUGUAUCAAAAGUUUGUAUUUUUGUGUGUCAUUGUUAAAGGACUGUAUGUUUAUGGUAAAAGAGCUUCUGAAAUUCUUUUUAAUAAUAUCCCCAAUUAAGUGUUAGCUUGCUUACUAAUGAUCCUGACCAAAAUGGGAAGCCUGUGCAACCAAUUUGCCACAAAAACCCUGAGUCGGCACAUGAGUGGAUAACUCCAAGUCCAAUACUGAGAAGCCCAACCAUAAUCUGCAGAGGGAGCACUAAAUACUAAAUGAACAACAAACAGUACUUUAUUCUACACCUUGUUCACCUAUGGUUUUAAAGAAGAGCGAUUAAGCUUCCAACUUCUUUUUAUUUUGGGGACUCUGCAAAGUAAGUUCAUUUAUCUUAUGAACCUUUGUGCAGCCUCUCAGUUAUUCAGACAGAAAAUCUACAAAUUUGCACUUUGAGCCGGUGUAAAGAUUUAAACAGUAGGUGUGUGGGGCUUCUUUGCUCAUGUAUGUACUAUAGUAAUACUGUAAGCAGUAAACUAUCAAGGACGAAAAA